GAUUCGACCUUUCGAUGCAAAGCCUUAUGGAUCUUCACCUUGCACACACGGUUUAAGGUGUCGAUGAAAAAAUGGGGUACCUACAGAAAAGGUAUGAUCAGUAGAAAGGCGAGCGAAGAAGCCUAAGAAUAAAGCUAGAGAUAAGGAUGGCACCUGAUACACGACGGUCAUGGAGUAUCGCUAUAGGUCGUCGAAGCCCAUAUCAGUGAUGCCCUUUAGCUCAUGGGAAGAACCGAUCUCUCAGUUAGCUUUUUAAUAACUCUCCAGUCAUCAAAGGUUGCAUCCUCCGGAAUGGAGUCAAUGCGGGCAUCAGGAUCCAUUUUGCUCGAAGGAGGAGGCAUGCUGCUUCGACCUGCAGCAGUAGAAAGUUAAGCAGAAGAACACUGAGUUCUAGUCUCACAAGGAGGCGUCGAAGCAGCAGGCAAGAAAACCGCGAGUAGUGGAGGCACCGGUGCUAGAGCGACCACAAAAAUUGGAGUCAAAGCCAAUAUAGUCAGACUUAGAGGAGUGGGAGUUGCUAAGACAACUGUGGCCUUGGCUGCUGAGCCACGCUCAUCCGUAGCCUUUUCUCGAUGGAUCACCGGCUUCUUGGAGGCACCUUCGAGCAUGAGAGCCUUUCUCUUCUUUGAAAGGUUUCACUUCAUUUUGGUGAUGUCCUCAGACCUCAUCUCUACAAGCAGUUGAACUAGAUCAGCAAUCUUAAAGAAAAAGAUAAAUAAGGUGGACACCUAUAGUACUCUACUAUCCCAACAGUACUAGCUAUAUAAUCAUAGCUCGAUGAGAAUUUUCUAUAAUUGUAGAUAUGACAUUUGCGCACGAGACAUAGAGGAUUGCUUUCUUUGGUAUUCAAUUGACUGGGCAAAUCCUUCUCAAUUAGAUAGAAUGAAUAAAGAUGCACAUUAGCCCAAUCGAAUUCUAAUCUGAAGUUGAAGUGAAUAAAAAAAUUUGAUGAUGCAUGGUCGACCAACCCUAAAUGGAAUGCAGCACUUCUUAAUGGCGAUGAUGAUUAGCAAAGAUCCCUAUGUUUGGAGUACACCAUAAUGUAGCAGCUGAAUAUUCUUGGAAAAGAUCACCCCUAGGAUCGGUCUAGCUGAGCCCAAUAUUAAGGAAGGCCUCGUCGAACACCAACUCAUCAACUGAGAGAGCCUUGAAGGGUUCUAAAGCGACCCUCUUCUUCAGCCCCUAGCUUUGAGACCUUGAAUGUUGAAGUCUCUGGCCGACCCCAGCCCGACAAAUCCUAGUCCUUCACUAUAGAGCUAGACACAAAUAUGAAUUGCUCCUUCUACCCAUGAACAGUAGAAGGAGUACCCUUGAUCAGAGGAGAAAUCCUUUUCUGAAAAGAAAAAUACCACCAAUUCUUCAAGUAAGGAUGCCUCUUGAUGGUGAAAAAAGAGCAGAAGAGAUCAACAGAUAGUUGGACACUAGCCAUAACACAAAGGAUCAAAAAAUCUAUCACGAACCUAAAGGAGUUCGGAACAAUGGCACAAAAGGACAAACCAUAAAAAUGGAAGAUGUCAAGGAUGAAGGGAUGAAUGGAAAACCUUAAGCCCGUCUAUAAUACUUCCUCAUCUAUGGCAAGCUGAUUGGAGGGUAGGCUAUCUAUGUGUUCGCUUACUCUGGAGAGUUCAAGAUCAAAAUAGGAAGGGAUCCAUACCAAAUCCGUAUCCGAAUCAAAUCAUUCGAAUUCAACAUAAAGCUAUAACCACUAUGACCUAGUUCACUCUACUCGACCAUUCUCAAAUAAAAGAACUAAAAAGAUAUCUAAAAAAGGAAGGGAAGAAUAGAAAAAUAGAUGGGUGAGAAAGAAAACCCAUAUGAGAAUGAAGGAAGGAGAUAGAAAAAUGAAAUAGUCAUCAGGACCUUCAAAAACCCCUCUGAAGAGUGCACUAUGGAGGAAGAAGGAAGGCCCCUUAUUCCAAGAAGCUAUGGUAAUGGAUAAGAAAAAGGAGUCGAAGAGCCUAGCAGCAAUUGAAAAAGCCAGGGAUAGGCACCUCUCUUAUUUAGAGCCAUGAGAAGAUAAUGUCUAGAUAUCGAAUCAUUCUUUUCUCAACAAGUCACA
rnacentral:lncRNA from 1 species